AGACACAUAGUUUUGACAAGAUCGGAGAGUCAACUGAAGUGGCACUCCGAGUUCUCGCGGAGAAAAUUGGUUUGCCUGGCUUUGAUGAUAUGCCCAGAGCAUUGACGUACUUGAGCUUGGAAGAACGUGCGAGCCACUGUGCAACUUACUGGCGAGGGCAGUUUGAGCGAGUAUCUACCCUAGAGUUUGACCGAGAUCGCAAGAUGAUGAGUGUAAUCGGAAAGCGAAAGGGGCAGAGCAUUCUGUUUACAAAAGGAAGCCCAGAGGCAGUUUUGCUUCGAUGCACACGGGUACUCACCAAUUCAAAGGGCAUCGCGGAGCCAAUUUCGACACAAGUUCGAGAUGCAUUGACUGAAAAAUAUAGAACAUAUGCCCGCAGAUCCUUGAGGGUGCUGGCACUCGCAAUGCGUCCAAUAUCUUCAGACCAGUGUCAUAUAUCACCUUCAG
rnacentral:lncRNA from 1 species